rnacentral:lncRNA from 1 species
GAACAUUUAUUCAGUCAUCCUUCGUUUGAAAAAGGAAUUGCUUAAAAAAGCACUUUAAGACUCCUUAAAAAAAAAAAAAAAGCAAUUUAAAAAAGUGAAAAGAUAUAGAAAGAAUAUCCAGAUUAUAGGACGUGGCAGGAAGCAAGUGGUCCUGUGUGCAGGUUCAGGAACAACAAUGCAUGUGUGGUUCAUUGGGAGAGGAAGCUCGUUGGUUGCGUGCGUGAAGUGAGGACGAGAAGAGUUGUGGGCCAAUUAGGGAUAUCAUAUCCAUCUUCUUAUUUAGAGGUAUCCCAGACGUCACACUUAGCAGCGUUUUAGCAAUAAUGAACGAAUGCUGUUUGUCACUGUACGAGUUAAAAUCUGUUAAUGUCAUUAUUGUUUUAUUUUAUUCGGUCC